AUCUGGUGAGUUCGGCCGUUCUCGUCCGUAUCUGGCGGAUCCGUGGAGGAGCUGACGAGCUCGUACUCCCGACCGCAGCCCCCAGGAGACGUCUUGGGGGU
rfam:Dipodomys ordii contig_68083, whole genome shotgun sequence.